CCCAAGUUCAAAUUCCAUGUUUUGCUCCUAAAUUUCAGCCACCACCAAUUUAAAUCCCAUCCAAAUUCCUUGCACCAUCAACAGCAGUCCACUGCUUGACCGACUCAAGCCGCUGCUAGGAGAGUUUCGGUCAAACUCUAACUCUUCCCCACGUGAGCAGCAAAAUUGGUCCUUCGCGCGCACAGCAGUUCGAACUCCA
rnacentral:lncRNA from 1 species